rnacentral:rRNA from 1 species
GUCCAGACUCCUACGGGAGGCAGCAGUGAGGAAUAUUGGUCAAUGGCCGAGAGGCUGAACCAGCCAAGUCGCGUGAGGGAAGAAUGUCCUAAGGAUUGUAAACCUCUUUUGUCGGGGAGCAAAAAGGCUCUGCGGAGUCGUAUUGAGAGUACCCGAAGAAAAAGCAUCGGCUAACUCCGUGCCAGCAGCCGCGGUAAUACGGAGGAUGCGAGCGUUAUCCGGAUUUAUUGGGUUUAAAGGGUGCGCAGGCGGAAGAUCAAGUCAGCGGUAAAAUUGGGAGGCUCAACCUCUUCGAGCCGUUGAAACUGGUUUUCUUGAGUGAGCGAGAAGUAUGCGGAAUGCGUGGUGUAGCGGUGAAAUGCAUAGAUAUCACGCAGAACUCCGAUUGCGAAGGCAGCAUACCGGCGCUCAACUGACGCUCAUGCACGAAAGUGUGGGUAUCGAACAGGAUUAGAUACCCUUGUAC